rnacentral:tRNA from 1 species
GGUAAGGUAUCCAAGAGGCUAAAGGGCGCGGACUGUAAAUCCGUUCAGCAUUGCUGUUCACUGGUUCGAAUCCAGUCCUUACCACCA